rnacentral:rRNA from 1 species
AACGAACGCUGGCGGCAUGCCUAACACAUGCAAGUCGAACGAGACCUUCGGGUCUAGUUGCGCACGGGUGCGUAACUCGUGGGAACCUGCCCUUAGGUUCGGAAUAACUCCCCGAAAGGGGUGCUAAUACCGGAUAAUGUCUUCGGACCAAAGAUUUAUCGCCUUUGGAUGGGCCCGCGUUGGAUUAGCUAGUUGGUAGGGUAAAAGCCUACCAAGGCGACGAUCCAUAGCUGGUCUGAGAGGAUGAUCAGCCACACUGGGACUGAGACACGGCCCAGACUCCUACGGGAGGCAGCAGUGGGGAAUAUUGGACAAUGGGCGAAAGCCUGAUGCAGCAAUGCCGCGUGAGUGAUGAAGGCCUUAGGGUUGUAAAGCUCUUUUACCCGGGAUGAUAAUGACAGUACCGGGAGAAUAAGCGCCGGCUAACUCCGUG